UACGGGAGGCAGCAGUGGGGAAGUAUUGCACAAUGGGCGCAAGCCUGAUGCAGCCAUGCCGCGUGUAUGAAGAAGGCCUUCGGGUUGUAAAGUACUUUCAGUCGUGAGGAAGGUGUUAAGGUUAAUAACCUUAGCAAUUGACGUUAGCGACAGAAGAAGCACCGGCUAACUCCGUGCCAGCAGCCGCGGUAAUACGGAGGGUGCGAGCGUUAAUCGGAAUUACUGGGCGUAAAGGGCACGCAGGCGGUUAAUUAAGUUGGAUGUGAAAUCCCCGGGCUUAACCUGGGAAUGGCAUUCAAGACUGGUUAGCUAGAGUCUUGUAGAGGGGGUAGAAUUCCAUGUGUAGCGGUGAAAUGCGUAGAGAUGUGGAGGAAAUACCGGUGGCGAAAGGCGGCCCCUGGACAAAAGACUGACGCUCAUGUGCGAAAAGCGUGGGGAGCAAAACAGGGAUUAGA
rnacentral:rRNA from 1 species